AUUUUAGUCUUUCAGUUUCUUCGUUAAGAUUCAUUGUUUGUGUGAAUGAUUAAUGGUUUGAUGUUUGAAGUCGUAAUUGGUCAAAACAACAACGAUAGAUUCAAAUAAAAGUUCUAUGUCAAUGAAAAAUGCUAAACUAUUGUGUUCAACAAUUAAUCAACACAUCAUGCAAGUUCAAAGCAAGAAUUAAGCAUGAAAAAUCAUCACAAUAAAUUCUCAUACACGAGAUCAUACUGCGAUAGUGUAAAAACAUUGGUUUUGUGCUAAGAAAAAAGAAUUUGGAAAUGAAAUGAAGCAAAAGCUGAAAAUUUUCUAUUCUAAAAUAGAAAGUGAUAAAAAUCGAGCCGGAAAAAAAUCAAAUUACAAAUCAGUUCAUAUGUUAAUGAUGCAAAUGCAGUGUGGAUCCUGUAAAAGAGAAUAGCAUCGAACAUUUAGUGUGAUUGAAAUGAAUUUGAAAAAAAUAUAAACAAGACUGUGAUUCCAAUUUAGAAAAAAAAAACAUAAUACGAAAAGAUUCAGUGCCAUUCAAAAAAAGACACAGUGCCGCUCAUCAAAACGAAUCUACAAAAUAAAACGAAAGACGUGAAACGAGCGGGCGUAAAUAAAUAUCGAACAUUCAGAAGUAUUACUAGUUUACAGCCGAAAUUGGGAAACGUUUCAUCUUCGAACCGUUGAUUUGCAAAAUUAAUACAGCGAGUACAUGACUCAUUACCGCCGAGGCGUUCUUCGUUUUUGGUUUUCUCCACAAAAGACAAGAAGAUAAAAUUCGGCCCAGAAUGAUAAAACGAAUGAUGUGGUCUUGCACGUUCGUGCUAAUCGCUAUUUUACUGGUACAGAAUGCCGUCGGCCAGUCAAACUAUGCAUCGCAUGCCAACAACAUCAACUACUUAGGUGAAGGUUUGCCCAAAGAAGCGACACUUGAUGGAAAAAUCACACAAUUAGAUGAUUUGAGUCCGCUCAUUGUCUUGAAUCGAACCGAGGCGCAUUUGGAUUGUGCAUCUGGAUCGAUGCAGGUGAGUUUUUUGAUGGAUUUAAAGGGCCGUUGUCGGCGUAAUGUAUGGCUAAUGCAGAUUUGGCUCAGUUCAUUGAUUGGUGGAAUGACAAUGUAACAGAGUCGAGGGGAGUAUUCUCGUUCUAUUAACGUUAAUAGUUGGUUAAUAGUGACUUUGAAAAUUAUUAAUCAAAACACAGUACAACAAUUUUUUGAUGAUGCCUGAAUUUUUUGGUGAUGAACUUUUGGGGUUUUGAAUGCACGAUUUUGGAGGACCGUAAUACAAACCAAACUGCAUCAUUAGUUUGUUCAGAUGACGUCCAAAUAAAAAUUCUAUCAACGUGGGUGAAUUAUAAAAAUCGGUUGGGU